rnacentral:rRNA from 1 species
AACGAACGCUGGCGGCAGGCCUAACACAUGCAAGUCGAGCGAGCAUUUCGGUGCUAGCGGCGGACGGGUGAGUAACGCGUGGGAACGUGCCCUUUUCUGCGGAAUAGUCCUGGGAAACUGGGGGUAAUACCGCAUACGCCCUUUUGGGGAAAGAUUUAUCGGAGAAGGAUCGGCCCGCGUUGGAUUAGGUAGUUGGUGGGGUAAUGGCCCACCAAGCCGACGAUCCAUAGCUGAUUUGAGAGGAUGAUCAGCCACACUGGGACUGAGACACGGCCCAGACUCCUACGGGAGGCAGCAGUGGGGAAUCUUAGACAAUGGGGGCAACCCUGAUCUAGCCAUGCCGCGUGAGUGAUGAAGGCCUUAGGGUUGUAAAGCUCUUUCAGCUGGGAAGAUAAUGACGGUACCAGCAGAAGAAGCCCCGGCUAACUCCGUG